rnacentral:tRNA from 1 species
CGCGGGAUGGAGCAGUUCGGUAGCUCGUCGGGCUCAUAACCCGAAGGUCGUGGGUUCAAAUCCCUCUCCCGCAACCA